rnacentral:rRNA from 1 species
UACCAGCACCCCGAGUGAUCGGGACGUUUAUUGGGCCUAAAGCAUCCGUAGCCGGUUCUACAAGUCUUCCGUUAAAUCCAACUGCUUAACAGGUGGGCUGCGGAAGAUACUAUAGAGCUAGGAGGCGGGAGAGGCAAGCGGUACUCGAUGGGUAGGGGUAAAAUCCGUUGAUCCAUUGAAGACCACCAGUGGCGAAGGCGGCUUGCCAGAACGCGCUCGACGGUGAGGGAUGAAAGCUGGGGGAGCAAACCGG